rnacentral:lncRNA from 1 species
UAUAAUUCAAAAGUACUAUAAAAUACUUUUUUUAGUAGCCUAAAUCAUACAUAAAUCCCAAUUACCUUAUUACAUUCAUAUUUAUGCAAUUUAGAUUUUUCUUAUAAGUCCUAACUCUAAUCAAUGAGCUUUGAUAAGUUAUAACUUCUAAUAUGAUUGACCACUUGAUGUGAAAUUUUGCAUGUAAUUUUCAAUGUAAGUCUUCUAUAUGCUUGAGAAAUUUCAGCCCAAUAUAAUAUACAAAUUGUCAGAAAAUCUCCAAAAAUUGUACUAAUAUCACUUGAUUACCAACUUAAAAGGUGAUGUAGAAGUUCUAGUAGUGAUUUCUUCUUUUCCAACCAUCAAAUUCAAUUCAAAAUUGGUGUAAAGCUUGAUCUCUAAGUCUUCCAAUAUCAUGCCAAAUUUCACCUUGAUUUGACU